rnacentral:lncRNA from 1 species
GAGGAGGAGGAGGAGGAAGAAGAAUCUUACCCCGCGGGGGUUUGGGACUUUGGGUUUCUGGGGUUUUGGUUGGACGCGGACGAAACCAGAGAGGGGAGGGGUGUGGGUAUGGAGCGGAGGGGGAGGGGAAAUGCAGGUUGAUCGCCUCACCUUUCCUUCCUUCCCUGGCUCCGGAGGAUCAAAAGCGGGGCGGUUGUGUUGUGCAGAGCAGAGCAGAGUUUGCAGGCGCAGCAGCAAAUAAAGCACCCGCGGCCUCCUCCGUCUCCUUUCCUUUCCUUCCCUUCCCGUCGCCCCGGUGCGUCCCGAGCCGUUGGAUCGCUUUCCGUGCCAGCUGGGGCCGAUCCAACGGCCCAGGCCCGUGCCACCGGGCCCGCUCGACGAGCCGCAGCGGGCGGGGCCCACGCACGCCGCGCUGGCGGGCGGGCNN